UCACCCAUGGGUGGUCAGGUACCACAGGCAGGCUCGGUCCUCUGUCAGAGGGUUGUCCUCUGUCAUGCAUUUUUGGCCACACACUUAUGCCCUCUGAAUCUCCUUUCAGAGUUCUACCUGGAAGAGCUUAUUGUUGCAGUUAUCCAAGGACACUCCAUAUUGGACUGGCCACCGCUUAAUCAAGGACCAGCGGUGGAGUUCAGGCUGGUGUUCCACAAUAGAGCAAAGCUACAGCUAUUUAUGGUAUCAUAAGACAAAGGAGUGCAGUACCUCUCUUCCCUGCAUCUGUGAGAUGGCGUCUUUCAGGUUUCCAGACGUGGACUACUCUUUGCAGAAUUCAGGUGUUCAUGCUUAGAACCCGCUGGGCUGUCACCUCUGUCCUGCUGCAGUGCCUAGCAUUUCCUCACUGGACAGAGUCUAUUCAAGGCCUGACCCACACCUGACAUUUGUCACCAGCACUCUGCUUGCCUCAAACCUUGUCCCAGAAAUUGGUGUGUUCCUGGGAAAAGGGUGAAGAAGCUUCUAGAAGGGACUCUGGAGCUUAUGCCAAGAACCAUGCUCUGGUGGUAUGGGAGUGGGGACGGGGAGGAGGGUACAUGGGCUGAAUGGUUGAGGACAGCCCAGAGCCAGCUAGGCAGUUUAACUUAAAUUGGUUUAAAUAAUUUACACAUGUUA